UACGUAGGGGGCAAGCGUUGUCCGGAAUCAUUGGGCGUAAAGCGCGUGUAGGCGGUUCGAUAAGUCCGCUGUGAAAGUCCAGGGCUCAACCCUGGGAUGCCGGUGGAUACUGUCGGACUAGAGUACGGAAGAGGCGAGUGGAAUUCCCGGUGUAGCGGUGAAAUGCGCAGAUAUCGGGAGGAACACCAAUUGCGAAGGCAGCUCGCUGGGACGUCACUGACGCUGAGACGCGAAAGCGUGGGGAGCAAACAGGG
rnacentral:rRNA from 1 species